rnacentral:rRNA from 1 species
UACCUGCAGCUCGAGUGGUAACCGCUAUUAUUGGGCCUAAAGCGUCCGUAGCCGGUUUGGUAAAUAUCUGGGUAAAUCGUGAGGCUUAACUUCACGAAUUUUGGAUAGACUGCCAGACUUGGGAUCGGGGGAGGUCAGAGGUACUCCAGGGGUAGCGGUGAAAUGUUGUAAUCCUUGGAGGACCACCGGUAGCGAAGGCGUCUGACUAGAACGAGUCCGGCGGUGAGGGACGAAGCCCUGGGGCGCAAACCGGAUUAGAUACCCGGGUAGUCCAGGGUGUAAACAAUGUGGGCUUUGUAUUGGAGAUCCCACGUGGGUGUCCAGUGCAGAAGAGAAGUUGUUAAGCCCACCGCCUGGGAAGUACGGUCGCAAGGCUGAAACUUAAAGGAAUUGGCGGGGGAGCACAGCAACGGGAGGAGCGUGCGGUUU